rnacentral:lncRNA from 1 species
AAUCCAUCACUGUCUUCCUCAGCGCUCCCUGGGGGGGACCAGCCUGGGGAGGAGGACGGGAGGGAGGGAUAGGGGUUUGGGGCUCUGAUCAAGGGCCCAGGAAGGUGGGAAAACUGAAGAGGGCAGGCGAGAGGGCAGCCUGGCCGUCCUAGCUGUAAGCGACCCCACUCCCUCCCUUUGGUCCUCAGUUUCCCCAUCGAGGAAAAAAGGGAUAAGAACCCCCUCCUCUGCUCACCACCUGCACUGGAGAUAACAGAUGGGAACAUCCUGGAGAAUCCGGACCAUGAAAACCCAAGAUGUGCGAGUGGGGCUGACAUUGAACCUUCUCCUUCUGGACUCUUGAUAGCUUGGGGGCAGCUCCUGUUGGUCACCUGCUCUCACUGCCUCUGAACCAGGACCAUCGCUCGCCCAUAUGGCACUUUUGAGAAAACCAGGAAAAAGCUCCCUUCUUCCAAGUGGGCAUGGCCCUGGACCACAGGAAAUGGUUUGGAGCUUCAGUUCCCUGAAGCAGAUUUUUGUUGGUCCUGACCACUAUCUCCCCAGCAUCUGGACGCAGGUGUCAGACACUGGUGCACCUGCUGAGUGAUGUGGCAUCUUUGGCCUACGAUAGUACUCUGAGCAGAGAAAAUGUGGCCUGGGGGGGAACUUUCAGGGUAUCCGGAGGCGAACAUCUCUUUGAAUGAAGCCUGGGAGAGGGAAUCUAUACAAACUGCUCAGGGAACAGAACACCACACGGGUGUGCAUGGCACACGACACCUCCGGUCAGCCCGCCACCUGUCCUUUCUGCCGAUGCCUCCUCAAUGAAGUAGAGAAGCCCUUUUCUUCUUUUCCUCUCCUCCAAAGCCAAUCUUUAUAUUGAUUUCUCCACCUCCAGCUGCAGUGAACAGGCGUUGAGAGAGGCUGAACAUGUCAGUUUUGCUUAAAGGACAGCGUAGCCUCCAGCCACCACAUCCAAAUGCAGGGACCCCGGCUGGCCAUCCCAGGCACCUCCAGGGGUUCUGGAGAGACACGAGUCAGCACCCACUCGCAGGUAGACUGGAUCAGUCAUUUAUGCCCUAAGCAUUGUCUCGGUGUCUCAUGUGUGCCAGGCUUGAUUCCUAAGGUUGACUCACUGGGCAAUUCAUUCAUUCAACUAAUAUUGAAUGAGUGUCUACUAUGGGCCAGCACUGUUCUAGGUACUGGGAUACAGCUGUGAGCCACAGAGAUGAAGAUCCACUCUCCUCGAGGGUUGGAGAAAAGGGAGACCUCUUACACCGUUGGUGGAAGUGCAAACUGGUACAGCCACAAUGGAAAACACUAUGGAAGUUCCUUAAAAAAUUAAAAAGAGAGCUAUCAUAGGAUCCAGCGAUCCUACUCCUGGGUGUAUAUCUGGAAAAAGUGAACACUCUAAUUCAAAGAGAUACAUGCAUCUCAGUGCUCAUAGCAGCAUUAUUCACAAUAGCCAAGACAUGGAAACAAUCCCAGUGCCCAUCAACAGACCACUGGUUUUAGAAGAUUGUGUAUAUAUGAUCUUAUAUAUAUAUGUAAUAUUUUACAUGUGUAUGUAUGUAUGAAAAUUAUAUA